UACGUAGGGUGCGAGCGUUGUCCGGAAUUAUUGGGCGUAAAGAGCUUGUAGGCGGUCUGUCGCGUCUGCUGUGAAAAUCCGGGGCUCAACCCCGGACUUGCAGUGGGUACGGGGCAGACUAGAGUGUGGUAGGGGAGGACUGGAAUUCCUGGUGUAGCGGUGAAAUGCGCAGAUAUCAGGAGGAACACCGAUGCGAAGGCAGGUCUCUGGGCCACUACUGACGUGAGAAGCGAAAGCUGGGGGAGCGAACAGGA
rnacentral:rRNA from 1 species